rnacentral:rRNA from 1 species
UACGGAGGGUGCAAGCGUUAUCCGGAUUUACUGGGUUUAAAGGGAGCGCAGGCGGAUUGGUAAGUCAGUGGUGAAAUACCCGUGCUUAACAUGGGAACUGCCAUUGAUACUAUCAGUCUUGAAUAUCGUUGAGGUUUGCGGAAUGGGUCAUGUAGCGGUGAAAUGCAUAGAUAUGACCCGGAACACCUAUUGCGAAGGCAGCAGGCUAAACGAAGAUUGACGCUGAGGCUCGAAAGCGUGGGGAUCAAACGGG